rnacentral:lncRNA from 1 species
CAAAUUGUAGGAGAAGCAUCUGAGACAAUGCUGAUGCUUAAUCAGAUCACUACGUUAAACUUAAUUCAGUUUGAAGUUUGAAAGAGCACGUACAUUUUCCUUGAGCCGACCAUUAUCUUCAUGGAGUUUGGAUGAGCUUAAAGUGAAAACUUGAAUCUCAUGCAGUUCCCAAAUCCCAAAGCAUGUUGACUCCACAGGUCCCUAUUUACUUUAUUGAGGGGUGAAGACGACCCCAGGUCUAUCCCAUCCAAAUAUCUGAACUUAGAUUAGAAUGACUGAUACAGCUGCACUAUAUGGGACAUGCUAAGAACACUUUCCCAACUCUGUUCCCACAUUACAAAUCACUGUCUCCAAUCAAGCAGCAGAAAUAAGGCUCAGCAUCCUGUGCUGCCGUCCCAGAGGCCUUUCUCCUGUAACAAAUGUUUCCUCCUUAAAAUAGCAUUUGUGUGUAUCGGGUAUCUGAUGGAAGAUGAUGUUCAUAUGGUCUCUUCUCAGAACGCAUUACUGCGAACAACAUCACCUGCACCACAAGAAGAGAUGUCCAAACUGAAGGCAUCUCCGCUCGGCAAGUGUCCUCCACCCAAAGUGCCCUGCUUGCUAUUAUGUGUGUAACCCUGUCCAGCUGUCUUGCAUUCACACAACCCAAACUGGACGUCUCAGCACAAAUAGCAUAGGCCGAUGACGUUUAACAGCAGAGAGGGAAAGAGACAUACGGAACAGUUUCAGAGCUCUGAUGAACAGAGAAAUAUAAAAGCUGCUGAGAUUUAUGGGCUGAAGAACGCCAGGGCAGCUUCUGAUGGGAGCAGCCUGCCUGUGACUUCUCAGAUCUCGGGAAGCUCUGGGUGGAUGAUCAAUUGCAAAGUUUGAAAUCGCUAAACAGAAACUGAUGGUGGGAGCGAUUGAAAUCGUCCCUUUCCUCGGUGUCACAGGACUGUUAGCAUGUGAGGUAUGUUCUGGAGAAACACAGAUCCUGUCUUCUAUCUCUGGUAGACCUGUCCAGACCUUUUCCCACACUCUUUUUUUGUCUUUCCAUCCCUAGUUCCUUUAGUUGGGAAGUAUGCCAGUGUGGUGCCAGAAAGACUUCACUCAAGAUAGAGGGAUGAGAAUAAGAAAAGCUCACCCAUAUAUACAUGAAGGAGAAAAAGAAUAACUUGUAAUAAUAAUAAAAAUGAUAAUAGCAAUUAUGUGGUUAUUAAAAUCUGAUUUGUGUUUUGCUGCAUAGAUAAUAUUCCUCUCCCUCUCUGUUUAAUCUUUCUCUGUAUAUAUUGUCCUCUUUAGCUCUCUCUCUCUCUCUCGCGCUCUCUCUCAUUCUGUUCUGCGGUCUACAUGUUGCUGUUUUUGGGGUCUUUGAUCUUUUACUGCGCUCUCUUUUCUUCACAUUCCCACUCUCAAUCUUUCUCCCUCAAAAAGUAAACUGUUUUUAUCUCCCUUCCACCUUUUUAAUUCCCAUCUUCCUUCUUUUAAUGAGUCUCUCCCUUGCUGUUCUUUGGUUAGUUUUAGAGCUGAUAUUUGGCAAAGAGGUCAAGCUGUAACUCGAACAAAAACUGAAGCACUUUAUCAUCUUUCUCAAUGAACAAAUGACGUCAUAAUGUGUGUGUUCAUGUCCUACAAAAGUGUUCAGGUGAGAAUGUGGUGUUUUCUUUCAUGACCUCAAAACAAACAGUUAAUAUCUCUGAAUUAUUUGGAUAUCAGAAGGGGUAACUGGGGCUAGUUUUCACACAUUUUAUGUUUAUUUUGAUGUCAAUUUCUGUAUAGCCUCAUACCUGAAAGCCUGGGCUACAAAAAGCUUCAUCACCAAUUCCUCUGUUAUUUCCCAGUAAAAAGAUUGUGUUGUUGACCACUUAGUUAAGAUUUUCACAAUGGAAACCUGCC